GACGAACGCUGGCGGCGUGCUUAACACAUGCAAGUCGAACGAAGAGCGAUGGAAGCUUGCUUCUAUCAAUCUUAGUGGCGAACGGGUGAGUAACGCGUAAUCAACCUGCCCUUCAGAGGGGGACAACAGUUGGAAACGACUGCUAAUACCGCAUACGAUCUAACCUCGGCAUCGAGGAUAGAUGAAAGGUGGCCUCUACAUGUAAGCUAUCACUGAAGGAGGGGAUUGCGUCUGAUUAGCUAGUUGGAGGGGUAACGGCCCACCAAGGCGAUGAUCAGUAGCCGGUCUGAGAGGAUGAACGGCCACAUUGGGACUGAGACACGGCCCAGACUCCUACGGGAGGCAGCAGUGGGGAAUCUUCCGCAAUGGACGAAAGUCUGACGGAGCAACGCCGCGUGAGUGAUGACGGCCUUCGGGUUGUAAAGCU
rnacentral:rRNA from 1 species